UAGGCGUAAAUGAUGCGAGUUAAGUGUGGGGCAUCUACGAGAUGGCCCUGUGCUGUAGGGUAGCCGUUAAACUCGCUGCCUGGGGAGUACGGUCGCAAGGCUGAAACUUAAAGGAAUUGGCGGGGGAGCACAACAACGGGUGGAGCUUGCGGUUUAAUUGGAUUCAACGCCGGAAAUCUUACCGGGACCGACAGCAACAUGAAGGCCAGGCUGAAGACUUUGCCGGAUUAGCUGAGAGGUGGUGCAUGGCGUAGUCGUGU
rnacentral:rRNA from 1 species